GUAUACGACAGUCUUCCUUUGAACCGCGCAAGAGUAGUUUUAAAGAGCUUGGAGCCCGAGUUUCACCUGAUGCCAAAUUUGGAAGUUAAACAGCAUCAGAUAACCAUCAAAACAACAAAAGUAUCGAAGAAGACUCCUUUCUCGUUCUGCGUAAAACACCUUCAUAACACUGAAAUCACAAGAUCGUUAACGACCGGUAACGAACGUUUAUAUGACAGAUGGAU